ACCCUCUGGGACAGCCCUCCCCCCACAUGCCCUCGGGGUUUGGGGGGGCAGCGGGAGAGGGGGGACAGCACUAUGGGGGUGCUGUGUGAACCCUAAGUUGUUCCCGAGAGAAGGAAAGAUUUCCCCACUGCAAAAGGUCCCCCCACCCCUGCUCGCACCCCGAAAUAAUGAAGGGAGACAGCAGAGGGCUGGGGCUGGGGAGCUCCAACAUUUGCAAAGAAAAAAAAAAAAAAGACAAAA